GCCGCCCAGAGCGUGGCUCCCGCAAACACAUGCGGGACUUAUGUCUAUCCUUGCUCAUAAAUACUUUGGGAGGGCAGAGCGCCAGCUCCCAUGUCCCUUUUCCGGGCUGCUGCAAGUUCAGCCGCACGGCUGCCGUUCCUGAAAUGGACGCUCCAUCGGAACAGCCAUGCAGAAAGGGAGCGUGGAGCAGCCACGCAGAAGCUAAAAAAGUCUGUGGUGUUUCCAUCAAAAGCACUCGGCGAGAGAAAACACACGAGCGGGACUUAUAAAAUUACAACACUCAGCUAAAAAUACCAAACGGGAUGUUCUUGAUUUGUGAUUGUGUGUGUUACUAACAACAAGGAUACAAAAAUCCUCUCUGAUCCCAUUAUCAGUUCACCUUACUUUCUCCCGUUACGUUUCUGGAUGUUUUCGGCAAAAAUGAUGAGCGACGACAGGUAUGCUGCCAUUGUGCUGGAAGUCACCUACAAGGUGUUGUUUUACGGAGAACAGGGUUACCAUGUUUUCUUGGCAUGGACGACCGGUGCUUCGGUUUACAUGACAGCAGCAGAGAUGGAAAGGAGAGGAUGAAUUUGGAGAGUGCUGUGAAACAGACCUGGCGGGGCUGACCCCGGGUGUCCUGGCGUGGGCAGCUCCCAGAGGGGGCAGCCACUUAGUGAGGCGGGAAAGGCCGAGAGCGCCGCAGGCGAGGAGCCGGAGAGAAAUCGGAAAGCCACUGAAGACGGCAUAUGACUAGACGAUAGCAUCACAACCAAGAUUUUCUUACUACACAGCAAUUGUCACCUCUUCUUUUAUUUUUUUAAAUUUUUUACUGUUUUGUUUAUUUUUGAGAGCGAGAGAACGAGAAUGAGUGGAGGAAGGGCAGAGAGAGAGGGAGACCCAGAAUCUGAAGCAGGCUCCUGGCUCUGAGCUGUCAGCACAGACUUCCACGUGGGGCUCGAACUUGUGAACCAUAAGAUCACCACCUGAGCCAAAGUUGGAAGCUUAACCAACUGAGCCACCCAGGCGCCCCAAUUGUCACCUCUUCUUAAAAACACGCACAAAAAUCACACGCACCAGUGGGUCUCAAGUGGGAGCGACUUUGUCCCCCAGGGGACAUCUGGCAAUAUCUGGAGACAUUUUUGGUUGUCACAACUGGGGAGGGGGUGCUAUGCUACUGGCAUUUAAUAGGUAGGGGCCAAGGAUGCUGCUAAACAUCCUACAGUGCACAGGACAGCCCCCACCACAAAAAAUUAUCCUGUCCAAAAAUGUUCAUUUUGCUGAGGCUGGGAAACACUGAGAAAGACAUAAAGACAUGACAUUGAACUCAAUAGAUACCUUAAAACUUGGCUUUUGUCUGUAUCUGUUAUCCGCCCAAUGAAAGAGUUAUUUGGCCAUGCAAUUCCCCAGUGUGGACGGUCACAUAAGGUCCCUGAAGGUACAAUAUUUGAUUGUCGGUUUAUUAUGGUGACAGAACAGGGAGGGGGAAGGAUGACUCGGCUCAUCCAUCUCAACUGUCUAAAUGAGUCAGAAGAGCUCUACGGUAUCAGGGCACUUGUGCAGAGCACUCCAUUCUGUCACCAGCUACCCCUGUGCCACCUUGACCCCCACCGCUCUAGGCUUGGAUUUCUCCAGCCACAAAAUAGAGAACCUGUCUAAGCCACCAGCUGGAUUUGACACAGACUGUGUCCCAACACUUUGCCACUUGUAUAAAGACAAUAAUAACGAGGGGAUUGUUGUCAUGACUGGCUGGUCCGAUGUCCUAAGUGUCUCUCCAAUAUGCGAACUGCUUUCCACCUCCGGUCCAGCUGCCAUCCUAUGUAGGCCAUCCUUCUCUCAUCUCUCUCUGGCCCAAAUACCAGGAUCCACUCUGGCUCCUCCUCGCACUCCCCUCCAUCCUGGGCUCAAAGCAGGCGCUUCAAAAUGCACAUCUGAUCAAGUCGCCAAAAGGCAUCAAGGACGGCACCCAGCUGGAAGGACGGAGUCGCCAUAAACUGAAUGUGGGAAAACCGUGGGAGGAAAGGUUGGGAGGAGAACAUUAGCCGCUAACACACAUUUUUGUCACGAUGGUAAAACGAGAGGACAGUCGUGCUAUGCUUUGGAAAAGUGUAACACUAUAUAAAUGUAGGAUGCUCUUGUCUACUCAAGUGUUUGUGUUUCUCUCCUUGUGACCAUUAUAACCAUUGAAAAGGAGGAGUGAAGAGUCCACAGCAACUCUUAACAUCCUCACUAUUUAAUCAUCUCUUUGGAAGGCUGGCCAAAUAGCUGGCACAUAAUAGGCACUCUACAAAUGUUUGGUGAGUGAACAGAAUGUGAACCACCGGUUUCUUACAGGCAGUCUCACCCCGGACGGAUGAAGAAGCACUGAAGGGAGAACGUUAAAUGCUUGCCGUGUGGAUUAUAUUUCAGAGUAGGCAAGAGGUACUGAGAACACACGGAGGGUAAUUCUUUUUCAGGAAGACAAAGACCAAAAAAGAAGAAAAAAAAAAAAAAGCCUCCAAGCCCCAGGACAAUACCCAGUGGGGCAGAACCAUGUGGAGCAAACAUGUACAAUCUCAGCAGUGUAAUCAUGUCAAGGAAAGCUCAGUAAAGUAGCAGAUGGCAGAACAGUCCCAGUGGCCCGUCUCAAAACAUCACAAGUCACAAUUGGAAACUAAAUGUCGGAAGACCGGAGUAAGCUAACACAGCUGUCUGCCUGCUUCAAGCAGGCAGCAAUCAGAACCUUCUUCAGUUGUACUCGUUCCUCAGAAACACUCUCUUUUCUCUUUCUCAAAAAUAAACUCCAUCUAGAAUCUG